AUGCACGCUGGCGGCGUGCUUCACACAUGCCAGUCGAACGGAAAGGCCCAAGCUUGCUUGGGUACUCGAGUGGCGAACGGGUGAGUAACACGUGGGUGAUCUGCCCUGCACUUCGGGAUAAGCCUGGGAAACUGGGUCUAAUACCGGAUAGGACCACUUCUUGGAUGUUGUGGUGGAAAGUUUUUUCGGUGUGGGAUGAGCUCGCGGCCUAUCAGCUUGUUGGUGGGGUAAUGGCCUACCAAGGCGUCGACGGGUAGCCGGCCUGAGAGGGUGUACGGCCACAUUGGGACUGAGAUACGGCCCAGACUCCUACGGGAGGCAGCAGUGGGGAAUAUUGCACAAUGGGCGCAAGCCUGAUGCAGCGACGCCGCGUGGGGGAUGACGGCCUUCGGGUUGUAAACUCCUUUCGCUAGGGACGAAGCGUUUUGUGACGGUACCUGGAGAAGAAGCACCGGCUAACUACGUG
rnacentral:rRNA from 1 species